rnacentral:tRNA from 1 species
GCGGAUGUAGUUCAAAGGUAGAACACCAGCUUGCCAGGUUGGUGGUGAGGGUUCGAUUCCCUUCGUCCGCC